GAUGAACGCUGGCGGCGUGCCUAAUACAUGCAAGUCGAGCGAACAGACGAGGAGCUUGCUUUUCUGACGUUAGCGGCGGACGGGUGAGUAACACGUGGAUAACCUACCUAUAAGACUGGGAUAACUUCGGGAAACGGGAGCUAAUACCGGAUAAUAUUUUGAACCGCAUGGUUCAAUAGUGAAAGACGGUCUUGCUGUCACUUAUAGAUGGAUCCGCGCUGCAUUAGCUAGUUGGUAAGGUAACGGCUUACCAAGGCAACGAUGCGUAGCCGACCUGAGAGGGUGAUCGGCCACACUGGAACUGAGACACGGUCCAGACUCCUACGGGAGGCAGCAGUAGGGAAUCUUCCGCAAUGGGCGAAAGCCUGACGGAGCAACGCCGCGUGAGUGAUGAAGGUCUUCGGAUCGUAAAACUCUGUUAUUAGGGAAGAACAUAUGUGUAAGUAACUGUGCACAUCUUGACGGUACCUAAUCAGAAAGCCACGGCUAACUACGUG
rnacentral:rRNA from 1 species